UGUGAGUGACCCGGGACCCUAGCCACUCUUUCACUGAAUAUCGGUGUCUGAGUAUGUUAUUCAUCCAUCAUGCAGACUGGAUCUGUGGGUCAGACCCCAGCAGAUGGUGCCCUGUGUGAGGAAUGCUACAAAGGAUCACAACAGAACCCUCAAAAAUGAAGGUGAAAAGGACUGUGCAGUCAGUGAGUCAGUCCUCUUUGGAUUCCAGCAUGAUGCAUCAAACCAUACCGUGGCAUGGCUAGGGCCCAACCUGGUAUCAAAAAUGAAGAAAAUGACCCUAUAGGACCCACAGCCCUGGACGAUGUGGCUUCCUUGGAUGACACAAGCCCCGGACAUUACCUGGGGGAUGCUAAAGAAGACAACUCAAGAGGCUGAACAAAUCCUACUCUGGAUACAGACACCAUUUACUCCAGAUAAUUUGUUCCUUGCCAUGCUCUCUGUUGUACAUUGCAACUCGCGUAGGGUAUUGAUCCUUUUCAUGCUCUCACUUUGUCUGCAACCUGUAUCUGCUAUGCUCUAUUGGGCUUAUAUCUUAGAUCCGCCUUUCUUUCACCCUGUCACCUGACAGACACCCCCUUCUCAGCCUUUAAUAACUUAACUUCUUGGCUGGGAGGGAUAGAUUUACCCUACACAUCCAACAAACAGCCAUAUGGAAGCGUGUGCAAGAUCAUCUCUCCCGGAUAGACCCCCGCUCUUGGGCACCACUCCUUGAUUGGAAAAGAAUGUUGUUCAUUAUACACAUGUUUGUCAUAUGUCAUUUGCUA
rnacentral:lncRNA from 1 species